UCAGCACCUCGCUAGGCGAGGCUCCUGCACGAACACAGGCCACUGAUCCGACGACGUCGAGAGACGCCCAGGGUUAGGACAGAUCUCCCCGGCUUAAGGGGUGAUCCGAGGUGGCUUCCCGUCCAGGGAUUACGUCGUGCAGUGCCGAAGCUCUGACGAGAGAGGUGGUCG
rnacentral:sRNA from 14 species